GUUGGGAUAAGGCUCAGUUUAGUUAAGUUGAGCACUAGCAUCAUAAAAUGUGAAAUCUGGUUUUAGUUGUGUCUAGUUGCUCCUAUUGCACUACUACAAAAUACAAAUGACCUCAAGCCUAGAUGUUUUACAGAUGUUUCAAAGUAUCACUUUGGUCUUAUCAGUGUUCUAUGAAUUUAUAAUUCAAAGCAAAAAAGAAAAAAAAAAAAAAAAAAAAAAAAAGGCUGGUUCAACGGAAUAUAGCUAAGAUAAAAGGGGUUGCUGUUGCAGCCUUAUUUAGUUUUCAUGAAUUUGAAACAUGUAUAUACCACCAAAACUAGACAUUGUAAUACUUCCUUCUGUGUGAUGUGUUUGAAGACUCUCUGUGUAAAUUGUUAUUUCAGUGACUUAAGGCAGCCUUUAAGAGGACAAUUGUCAGGCAUCUCUUCAAUCAAGAACUCUUGAAUGAGGCUGCUGAUUUGUUCGCAAAGAAUAUGAUAUGUUGUUAAGUCAUAUUCCAUUUCUUAAGGCUGCUG